GAUGAACGCUGGCGGCGUGCCUAAUACAUGCAAGUCGAGCGAACAGACGAGGAGCUUGCUCCUCUGACGUUAGCGGCGGACGGGUGAGUAACACGUGGAUAACCUACCUAUAAGACUGGGAUAACUUCGGGAAACCGGAGCUAAUACCGGAUAAUAUAUUGAACCGCAUGGUUCAAUAGUGAAAGACGGUUUUGCUGUCACUUAUAGAUGGUUCCGCGCCGCAUUAGCUAGUUGGUAAGGUAACGGCUUACCAAGGCAACGAUGCGUAGCCGACCUGAGAGGGUGAUCGGCGACACUGGAACUGAGACACGGUCCAGAGUCCUACGGGAGGCAGCAGUAGGGAAUCUUCCGCAAUGGGCGAAAGCCUGACGGAGCAACGCCGCGUGAGUGAUGAAGGUCUUCGGAUCGUAAAGCUCUGUUAUUAGGGAAGAACAAAUGUGUAAGUAACUAUGCACGUCUUGACGGUACCUAAUCAGAAAGCCACGGCUAACUACGUG
rnacentral:rRNA from 1 species